rnacentral:snoRNA from 1 species
UGCAAUCAAUGAUGAAGGCUUUUAAUCUCUACUGAGGUUCUCAGUGAUUAUUAUCUCAAAAAAUCACCAUCUUUCGGCUGAGAUUGCA